AAAGGUGUUUUGCACAAUUUCUGAGUGCUCUGCCCAAAACCAUUCUCCCCUUCUCCAUUGUUUGCUGUAGCAACUAGGGGAACCAAGAAGAUAUCAUAACCACACUGAUGAAGAGGAAUACCUGAGACAUCAUUCAAGUCAGGUACUAUCCAACAGUGACAUGUGCCUUUCUUCUGAAGUGCGCACACAUGGGAUGAACAGCCUGUGAUUUGAAUUACACUCCUGCAGUUAGAAAUCCUUAGGACUACCACUGGAGUAUUUUCAUGGAUUGAAUUAUCCGAGCCCCAGAAAGUUUAUUAGCUCAGAGCAAAGAUGGAUGUUAAAGGGAAGAGAGUAGAACAGAAGACCUGAAGUGUAACAACAAUCUACAAUUCUUCCUGAAGAAAAAAGUCAUUUCCCAGUGUAAGAGACUAUUCUUUUAUAUCAUUGACUCAAAGUUUGCUGAGGAACAAGUCCAGGCAAGUCCUGGGCAAAGGCAGAGAAAUCUUUUGUCUUGAGGACACUGAUGGACAGGUCCUGGCUAAGGAUUGUGAAAUCCUCUAAGGAGCACAGAUGGACAAGGCCAGGGGCAUCGAGAGAGAGAUAAGCUGCUGCUAAUGGCCGGGAAACGGUCUUUUUGUGUGGACUUAUCUCAAGGAAAAUGGCCAUCUCAGGAGGUAUGCACAGGACUCUUGCUCAAGCACCCAGGAAUGUCACGUAGGCAGCAGAAAAUGGAGAAUAAAAGAGGGUCCAAUAACCACAACGGUGGAAGCUGAUCCUUCACCACAACCACGGCAACGGGAGAGGCUUAUCUCUCACCACGACAGACUUGAGGGGUUCUCUGCCAUCUGAUCCUUCACCGCAACGUGUAGACGGAUCUCUACGUGGAGACUGAUCUCUCACCACGACACGAGCUUCCUGCCUUCAGAUCCUUCUCUACGGACCGUUUGCUGACGGACUUCCCUGGGCCUGCUACCUGAGACCUGCUGCUUCCUCCCUGACCUGCACCCUCUCGUUGCCCAAGACCGGCCUCGCUGCUCCUGCCCUUCGGCCUCGGACCGUCGGAAUAUCGUGCAACGGGACUGCUGCCGGAUCCUGGUGGUGACUAUCCCCGCUUUACGCAAUUCUUGCCUCUUUCUAUCUUUUCUAUCGCUCGCCUUCCCUUCCCCAUCACCCCAGUCCUUAAUAGUGUCCGUCCUCCCCUUUCCCCAUCUCCCUUAUUAACAUUUGUAAUAAACUGGUCG
ensembl:lncRNA